GAUGAACGAUGGCGGCGUGCCUAAUACAUGCAAGUCGAGCGAAGCGGGGACGGGUUAGUACCAGGUGGAUAACCUCCUAUAAGACUGGGCUAACUUCGGGAAACCGGGGCUAAACCGGCUCCUUAUAGAUGGAUCCGCGCUGCAUUAGCUAGUUGGUAAGGUAACGGCUUACCAAGGCAACGAUGCAUAGCCGACCUGAGAGGGUGAUCGGCCACACUGGAACUGAGAAACGGUCUAGACGCCGACGGGAUCCAGCAGGUGUGAAUCUCCCGCAAUUUGCUCAAGCCUGACGGACGUAAGCUGCGUGAGUGAUGAAGGUUUCCGGAUCGUACCACCCUGUUAAUAGGGCAGCGGUACCCAUUCAGAAAGCCCCGGCUAACUACGUGCCAGCAGCCGCGGUAAUUC
rnacentral:rRNA from 1 species